rnacentral:rRNA from 1 species
UACGUAGGGUGCAAGCGUUAAUCGGAAUUACUGGGCGUAAAGCGUGCGCAGGCGGUUUUGUAAGUCUGUCGUGAAAUCCCCGGGCUCAACCUGGGAAUUGCGAUGGAGACUGCAAGGCUAGAAUCUGGCAGAGGGGGGUAGAAUUCCACGUGUAGCAGUGAAAUGCGUAGAGAUCGGGAGGAACACCAGUGGCGAAGGCGGCCGGGCUGGGGGGUGA